rnacentral:lncRNA from 1 species
CUUGGGGGCCAAGUUGGCUCCUUUGUGAGUUGAUUUAGGCGCCUAAUUUAGACCCUCCUUGGCUGGUGCUUGGACCCCAAUCGACCCACUCUUGGACUUGGACUUGGACCAUGAAAUGAGUGUAGCACUUAGCUAAAUUCUCUCUAUAAUUUUUGAGCUCUUCUUCCACCACUAGUGCCUUCUUGAUCUCCCAUUGAAGCCCAACAACCUUGUCUUGCUUCUCCUUAGCUUGAGACCUUGUGAAUGGCUUUCUUAGUGCUUCUACAACUUUAUCCU